GGUCUGGUGGUGUAGUUGGUUAUCACGUCAGUCUAACACCUCGUCGGUUCACCCCGACAGGCUGAGCACACUGAAGGUCUCCGGUUCAAGUCCGGGCUAGAUCA
rnacentral:tRNA from 1 species